AGCUAGGGUUUGACUGAUGGAUCGGAAUUCCUCACCUAGAUCGUGCUAAAAUUUCUAUUGAAUCUGUUGUUGAUCUACCAGUGCUACUUGAUCCGGAUCUUUUGUUACAGUCUUGUGUCAUGGCUAGGGAUCGGAUUUUUUUUUUUAAAUUUCUUGGGUUUAUCUUAGAUGGAUCUAUCAAAGAUUUCUGAUGUGUUCUGUUAUCUCUGUUGGAGUUUCCUGUAAAAUUCAUUGUUUCUUGAUUUUGAUUUCUUAGUUUAGUGCCGCUUAGUCUGCUCUUUAUUUUUCUUUUUUUUUUUUUAAAAAAAAUUCUUAUUUUGUCGUGGAAUGAAACUAUCUCUCAUUUUCCUUUUUUUGUAAAAAAAAUAUUUUUAUACCGUCAAUGUUGAUCCUGGAUCCUAUCAAAUUGGUAUCAGAGUGGUUUUCUAAUGUGUGGCCUUAUACAUAUUGAGAGAAAAAUCUUUGAUUUUUUUUUUCUUUGAUCAAGAAUCCUGCACCAUGGUUCGUGGAAAUCAUCUCCAAUAAACCAUUGAAGAUCGCGGUUUGGAAUUAGAGGUUAAGCUUGAGGUAACGCUCGAGUCAACGUCUAAUGGAAGGUUGAGAGCAUUUUCUAUGCUAUAGUCGCUCAAGUUUUCGGGAACUGUGUCAAAAUAACUGCCUUGAGUAAGUUUGGCAAUCAAUACUAGUUUCAGGGCUAGUUUAAUGAAGUGUCAAAGAUUUGCAACAGUGAUCCUCCAUUGACAGCACCUUAGUGUUGGAAACAGAGUCUUGGGCCUCCCCCUGUGACGAUGCAUGUUGCUUUAUGAUAGCAAGGGGAUGACAUAAAAUGGUAUAUUGGCUUCAGUAAUUCCAUAGAGUUCCAAAAUGAGAGGAGUCCAAUGAAGGUCUUCUCAUGCUAGAGGCAAGUUCACAAGAGUCCACUAAAUGAUGGUUUUUUAUACUACAAGAGCUGUUUGAACAAUAAUCUGGUUAUGUUAUUGUGGCAGUCAAAGUGAUGAUUAGUUAGAACAGAAUACUUUGCUUCGGCAUUUUCUUUGAGAUCACAAUGCAUAAGACUAUCAUGAUUGCUAAUUAUUACCUCUUAUGCAUAACCAUGGUAGUGAGGCUUAGUGCUGAUGCCAAGGGGUAGAGGAAUGGCCAACUAAGCCAUUUCCGAAAGCUUGCACUGAGACCUCAGGGUCCAUAUUGCAUAAUGCUCUUGUCAAGUGGAUGAUGUAAAGGAUUUAGAGAUCAAAUGUCUAGAUCCACUGGUUGCAGUGCUGGACUGUUAGCACAAAUCCUCAGGAUCUGCUGGUUGUUUAUAUAUGCUGUUGGUCAUGUAUAUAGAAAGUACAGAAAUUGUGCUUUGAAAAAAAAAGGAUUUUGUAACAAAUUGUUUGCAAAAUAAAAUAUGUAAGAUAAGGAAAAGUGAUAGACAUGCUUGAAUCUGUGGCGUGAUGGGUAUUGCUCUAAGAGCUAUAUUUUCUCCUUUUGUGCAAGUUGUUUGAUCAUACUCACAACUUCGGUAUAGGGGAACAAUUAGCCUAGAGGUAAAAAUUUGGAGUUUGGAAAAGAAAUCCAGCAACCUAGUCAAAAAUUUAGACCACGAAAAAUAGGAAUAAAAUAAUAAAAAUAUAGACUUUCUAAAAUCAGACAAAUUUAUUUACUUGAUGAUAGGCAAACAAUAAUGAUAAGCAACUAUGCAGGCCAGAAUAUGGUAUUAUUACAUUGAAAGGCAUAUUUCUUAAAUUAGUCAUGAACAGCUUGUAGUAAAUUGUAAAGUCCAUGUAUAAUUCACGAAUAAUUAAAUAAUUCUAAAUUAACUUUUUUGCCAAAAAAAUUGUAGCAAGUGUAGCAUCGAGAAUAAAUAAAGAUUUUUUGCAUGGUUUGGAGAAUAUUGUUACUAUAUUGGUGAGUAAACUCUCAAGGUACAAGUGAUCUCCAAUUUGGUCCAGGAAGCCUCCAAGUGCAGCACAAGCAUGUGGUAGCGGAUGGCUUGGUAACUCCCUUGAUAUACUUGAAAGAGAUUGAUCAGAAUGCCUCAAAAUGAUAAAAGGAAAGGAUAAAUUCAUAGUAAGAAAAU